ACGUAACCUAAAGCUAACAGACGGGGAAGCCAUCACCAGGGUUUGGGUAAUUGAAACUUACAUGGAAAGGAUUGGGAAAGCGCAUGUCUCUGCUUGUACGCUCUAGUAUUAAACAUGAAUCUCAUCGGACAAUAAAAAUGACGUGCUUGGAGACAGGGCAGUGCACGGGAGCAUUCAUACAAAGGCAACGCCAGUAAAGAGAUUCAGAGAGCAGCACUCAGGCUGCUCAAGAACAAGAUCCGGAGCAGGUUGGAUUCCCUACCAGUAAAAUGAGGUAAUGAUGUGAAAUUGGUCACGUUGUUGAAGAGUUGAAAUGAGAGAUUGGGCAUCAGUAUCCAGCUUAGGUUCCGGCCUGUGGAAGGAGAGAUUGUGGAAAAGCAUAACAACGAAGAGGGAUGGUAUUGCUCCUGUAACUCGGAACUGGAGAGGAGGCAAGAUGCUGGCAUAGCUGUUGAACUGAGAACCUGCUAUGCCAACAUAUUGCCAUCUUUCCUGUCUGACAGCAGCUUGGCUACCUCCGUCCUGUUCCUCCUUGUCUUGCUACAAGCCAUCCAUGAUAUGUAGGGCCCUGUGACUUGGUCUGUCUCGCCCUGACUUCUCUCCAGUCCUAUACCGAAUCACUCGCUCUGUUCUAGCCACACUGGCCUUUUGGGGAUGUUCUUGGCUGCACCAGGAAUAUUCCCGCCUCUACUGCCCUGUCUUAUCUUUUGGGCAUCAGUGGAGAACUCUUUCACCAUGGCACUGUCUAUAAAACCUUACAUGUGCCCAGCCACCGUUCACCUCAUGACCCUGCUCUGACUUGUCAGAAUCAUUGGGCACUACCUGUCCAUGUUCAUUUGCUUAGUUGCUGCUUGAUUUACUGUACCAGGUUGUAAGUCCUUUAAGGGACACCCGUCUUCAUUUCUGUUCACCAUACCCCUAAACCCUGACGUUUGCAAGUCCUCAAGUCAUGUCUUUGCGACUCUACCCUGGACUUAUUGUGCAACAGAAGUGUCAAAUAAUGAGAUUUUAAUCAUGCCAUGAAUGGCUGUGAUGAAACACUGGUUUAUAAGUAACAAAGAAUAAACAAAUGCUACUGAUUUCUAAGCCUGCAAACCCAACAUCUUAAAGGAGCCACAAUAAAGUUACCAUCAGGUCUACAACUCAGAGAAGACAAAAUAUUGUAUGGAAAAGAGAUUAUAUUCAAAAUAAAAGUUACUUUUGCGGUUUCA